rnacentral:tRNA from 1 species
GCGGUCAUCGUCCAGUUUGGUCUAGGACACUGGCCUUCCAAGCCCGUAACCCGGGUUCAAAUCCCGGUGACCGCA